rnacentral:lncRNA from 1 species
GAUUGAAUGCUUUGUUACAAAAGUAUGGCUGAAUCCAUUCUCAGUAUUUGAGCUAUAGUCCGUUGUUUUAUUCGUACAAUGUGAGGUUACUGUUAUGGGCCUACAUUUGUGAGGCACAUAAACAUUGUAUUUCUCUGAAACCAAACCUCUACACAAAGUCUCAGCCAAUACAUCAUGGCAGCAUUAGGACUCAUAUGGCUUGUGAUCUUCACAGCAUCCAAACUUGCCAAAUCUGAAUACACAGAUACCUACCCUGCGAGGCUCUUUGCACCAACAUUCAUGGUGAGAGAAGGGGGUAAUAUAGAUUUUAAAUGUAGCAUUGUCGGCCUGGAACAACACUGGGUCGAGGUUCACGUUUACCUUUGCAAGAAUGGAGUUGGGAUAAGAAUGACAGUUCUGGAGAAAGGUGAAGAUGACACCAGUUUCACCAUGAAGGAUGUUACAAAUGAAGACUCAGGCAACUACAGCUGUGUGUACACCAGAGAUAAACUUCUACAAGAUCAAGUGAAGUCAACAGGCG